AAAAUUUAAAUUAACCCGCUCGCAUUUGAAUUCUACUUCAUGAAAGAUGGGAUUGAGGGAACAGGAAAUUAAUCAGGUUACAAGUUCAUCAGCUCUCCCGUUGACUUUCGGACCUGGAAUAACCGAACUUGGUUUCAAGGAAAGGAUAUUAAUAAAAUGGGGUGACACUUUUAAAGACAGGUCAACUCUAACCACCUUUUUGCUGCUUUUAGCCUAUUUCUUUCAUACAGUUUCUCGCCUCAUGGGCCACAUUUUAUCCCCGUAUAUUUUUGGUUGUUGGCUUACUUUGCGUGUUUGCUGUUACCUAUUAUUAUGCACGUUUGUUAAAAACCGGCAUAAGACAAAUAAUAACCAAAUGGACUUGCUGAGAAUUGCAUUCUUCCAAAUGUUAACUUGUUGGUAUCAUUCUGAAAAAGACGCCGAUGCCACAUACUGAAGCAGACGCCGAUGCCAAUCAGACGAAUCAGACAAUCAAUCCUUAGUCUGGCAAGUCUCUAUAAGUUCCUGUUACCGGGUCUGUUUUAUUGAGAGUGUACUUCUCAUGGCUGUGGCCAAUAGAUUUUACUUCAUGCUUUCCACUUUCGAGGGGUUACAUGAAUUUUGGCUUGCACAUAUUUGCCUUUGGAUCGUCCAAAUCGGGUUGUUUUUUGGCAGUAUCUUUUUAUUUUCAUUGGUUCCGUCAUGCUUGUUUUAAUGCUAC